rnacentral:rRNA from 1 species
UGAGUAACACGUAAGUGACCUGCCUAUUAGUGGGGGAUAACCUCGGGAAACUGGGGCUAAUACCGCAUAAGUUAAUCGAAAUUGGAAAAGAUUAAGAAAGAUGACCUCUGCUUGCAAGUUAUCGCUGAUAGAUGGGCUUGCGGGACAUUAGCUUGUUGGUGGGGUAAUGGCCUACCAAGGCGAUGAUGUCUAGCCGGUCUGAGAGGAUGAUCGGCCACACUGGAACUGAGAUACGGUCCAGACUCC